GCGGGAAUAGCUCAGUUGGUAGAGCACGACCUUGCCAAGGUCGGGGUCGCGAGUUCGAGCCUCGUUUCCCGCUC
rnacentral:tRNA from 1 species